rnacentral:rRNA from 1 species
GACGGAGGAUGCAAGCGUUAUCCGGAAUGAUUGGGCGUAAAGCGUCCGCAGGUGGCAGUUCAAGUCUGCUGUCAAAGACCGGGGCUUAACUUCGGAAAGGCAGUGGAAACUGAACAGCUAGAGUAUGGUAGGGGCAGAGGGAACGCCUGGUGUAGCGGUGAAAUGCGUAGAGAUCAGGAAGAACAUCGGUGGCGAAGGCGCUCUGCUGGACCAUAACUGACACUCAGGGACGAAAGCUAGGGGAGCGAAUGGG